UUUUUUGGAUCUUGCUCCAAAGAGAUAAAUAAUUCAACAUCGAGGUCAUAAUCUUUUUCUUUUAUAAGGACUUUAAGAAAAAAUUAUGCUGUUAUCCCUACGGUAGCUUAAUCAAUUCCCAAAUUGAGGAUAAAGGAAAAUGAAAAAAAAGAUUUAGUUUCUUUACCGCCCCAGCUCAACAAAAGUAAAGUUCGAUAGGGUCUUGUCGUCCUUCUUUGUUAUUCAAGUCUUUUUACUUGAAGGAAAAGUUCAAAUAGUUCAGGUAAUAAAGAAAUUUAUAUGUCAAACCUUUCAUUCUAGCCUUCAAUUGAAAGGCAAAUGAUUAUGCUACCUUACACAAGAAAAUUGCGGCUAUUUAAUAAAUCAUUGAGCAGGCCCUACUGAAUAUUAAGGCAUUCAGAAAUGUUUUUGAUAAACAGACAAUAAAUAUAUAGGCCGAGUUCAUAAACCUGAAUGUAAUAUUAAUUUUUGAGAAAAUGAGUCAAAAGGAGAAGAUAAAAUAAAUUUUACUAAUAAAAUCAUUGUAAAUAUUUUUAGGAGGUUAUCUUUUUAACGAAAUUUUUAUAAAAGAAUGGGAAAGUUUUAAAACUAGAGGGACACUAUUAAUCCUAAGGUUCAAGAAGUUUUGGACUGAAAAAUUUAUAAAAAAGAUUAUCCCUUUUUAAAUUUUGGUACUAUUACCUUUAAAGAGAACCAGAUAUGAUAGAACGCGAGUGGAAUUUCAUCUCUAUAUUUACUUUAAAAAACUUUAUGAAACAAGCUUGGUAAGAAGAAAAUAGAUCGUCUCUAUUUCGGGAACAUUUAUUAGAAAAAGUGGGUUGAUAUUCCCUGAUACUAAAGGUACAUUAUUUUUCUGUUGAACAAUUUUUAGAUUCCCCUCACGGUAAAAUAAUAUUAAGAAAAAAAUAGAAAGAGGAAAAUAUUUAUUUAAAUAGACACUUUAAGCAAAAAAGA
rnacentral:rRNA from 1 species